ensembl:snRNA U6 U6 spliceosomal RNA
GUACUCACUUCGGCAGCACAUAUACUAACACUGGAAUGAUACAGAGAGGAGUAGCGUGAUCCCUACACAAGGUUGACACACCAAUUUGUGAAGUGUUCGAUACUUUC